rnacentral:rRNA from 1 species
GACGAACGCUGGCGGCGUGCUUAACACAUGCAAGUCGAACGGAAAGGCCCUGCUUUUGGGGGGUGCUCGAGUGGCGAACGGGUGAGUAACACGUGAGUAACCUGCCCUUGACUUUGGGAUAACUUCAUGAAACUGGGGCUAAUACCGGAUAGGAGCUCCUGCUGCUUGGUGGGGGUUGGAAAGUUUCGGCGGUUGGGGAUGGACUCGCGGCUUAUCAGCUUGUUGGUGGGGUAGUGGGUUACCAAGGCUUUGACGGGUGGCCGGCCUGAGAGGGUGACCGGACACAUUGGGACUGAGAUACGGCCCAGCCUCCUACGGGAGGCAGCAGUGGGGAAUAUUGCACAAUGGGCGGAAGCCUGAUGCAGCAACGCCGCGUGCGGGAUGACGGCCUUCGGGUUGUAAACCGCUUUCGCCUGUGACGAAGCGUGAGUGACGGUAAUGGGUAAAGAAGCACCGGCUAACUACGUG